rnacentral:lncRNA from 1 species
GGAAAUGAGAUGGAGGGGGAGGGAUAAAGAAUCAAGAUGUAUUAUGUCCACGUGGGAACUCCCACCAGGAAAGUGAUGAUCAUGUACUGCAAACGGGUACUAAUAAAAACAUUUCAACAUAUUUUUAAGAAAUCAAACAGAUUCCCCCCUUGCUCCCCCAAAAGAGUAAAGUUGCCUAAAUGUCUCAUUCGGAGCGGUUCCUUCCCGUCAGGCCCUGGCUUCCUGAUCGCGCGCUGUAAUCACGCAGGUGUGGUGGGGGACGCCAAUUAGUGUAGGUCAGUACUAGCGCGGAUCAGCAUGGACUAAGUUACCAGUACUCUGGGGUACUUGCUACUGCCAGUCAUUAACAGAGUGCUCCAAAGAGGACCCGCCCCAGAGCACCCCCCGAAGUCCUGAGGAACCAGGCUGGCCCAGUGCGGGGCUGUAAGGAGUCCUCCCGGGCUUCUGAGCUGCUCCAGUUUGAGACCCGCCCCGGGAACCGCAGCGUCUGGGUAGUGCUGCUUUGGGGCGGGGCAGUCCGGUGGCCUACGGCUUGGGGGACUGGAAGCUCUGGUCUCAGAUGCGUGGUUCGGGGUGACAGUCCCCUCCCUUUAUGCUGCUGUGAUGACGCAGUCAGCGUUUGGCCCCCAGGGGAUGCCCCGUGCGGGGCUUGACCUCCUGAAGGCCCCGACGCGCUCAGGUGCACCGAGGAGGGACGGCAGGUGCGGCUGAUCAGGGCCACGGGACCCGCCGGCCUCUGCUGCGCAGCGGCGUGGGCAUGAGUGGGGCAGCGGCGGCGGGCGCUUCCCGAGGCUCCCGGGCCACGCGCGGCAACCGCCGGACGGCGAUGGAGCGGGGCGAGCAGAACGCUGAGUUGAGCUCCUCUGAGGAUGAGAGCCCCCCUCGAGUGCCAAAGAGGCCACCCUGGAAGAUGCCCAUCAAGUACAGCACCCCUGAGGGAGAGGAGGCAGCCCCGUACUGGAGCCCAAGGCCUGGAGGCCGGGCCUCCUACCUGCAAGAGUCCCCAGUGUCUGCGCUCUCUGCCCAGGACCUUGGGCCCCACCAAGCAGGGCUCAGCCCUAGGGCCACCUUCAGGAGGAGGAGGCUUUCCACCAUCUACGCCUUGGAGGAGGGCCCCAGCGUGCAGCCAGGGACCUGCUCAGACCCCUCAUCCCUCGGGGACAACUCACCAGAGCCCGCCUCGUUGGCCAAGCCACAGCAGAAGGCAGAGGACCUGCAAGGAAAUCGCUGGCCACGCAAUGCAGGUCUGCCUGGGGUGCCAGACACCUCCAAGAGGAAGAGACGGGACCCGAAGGAGCGGGCAGCCGUGAUGCUGCGGGUGAGACAGUGGGAGGCCCGUCUGCUGCAGGACAUCGAGGCAGCUGUGCACCAUGAGCUCACCAUCCAGGCCGAGGGGUUGCCUAGCAUGGGCAUGGUCCAGGUCCAGUUCGAUGCCCAGGAGCCCACCACCUCGGACUGACUUAACUGUCCACACCCACCGCACCAUCCACACCCAUUGCCCUGCGGUCCCUGGUUGUAAAAUUGUCAGAUGUAUAAAAAUGCUAGAACUUUAUUGUUUCAAAUGAGAAAAUGUAAAACUAUAAAGCGGAAAAAUUGCCUGGAACUAUGUAACACAGUGAGAAGUACUGCGGGGCCAAUUCCUUCUGAUCUUUAUUACUAAAAAUAAAUUGUUUUCACAAGAACUGUUCUAAGUCUGCACUUCAUGCAAAUGGAUUCCGACGUG